rnacentral:SRP_RNA from 1 species
GCUGGGCGUGGUGGCGGGCACCUGUAAUCCCAGCUACUUGGGAGGCUGAGGCAGGGGGUUUGCUCGAGCCCUGGAGCUUGAGGCUACAGUGAGCGAUCUUCACACCACUGCACUUCCAGCCUGGGUGACAGAGUGAGACUCUGUCUCUG